rnacentral:misc_RNA from 1 species
AAGUCGUAACAAGGUUUCCGUAGGUGAACCUGCGGAAGGAUCAUUAACACGUAUCCAACGUUAAAACCCCCUGUGAACCUUCAUUGUGGACCCCCAUUCCGUUAGAACGCGGCAAUCCCUGGUAAAUCAUCGCCGAACAGUUUUGAUUCAGGGACCUCUGCAUGGUUUGGGCAGCUCCGCGAGGCAAGGCCGGCGACCGGGUCACUGGGCUCUGCCCCCCUAUCACCUUUGCAUGAAACCGGGCCUGCGCUUAAUUGUGCGGCCACCAAACUUCGAACAACUGUUAACAAUGGAUAUCUUGGUUCUC